GACGAACGCUGGCGGCGUGCCUAAUACAUGCAAGUUGAGCGCUGAAGGUUGGUACUUGUACCAACUGGAUGAGCAGCGAACGGGUGAGUAACGCGUGGGGAAUCUGCCUUUGAGCGGGGGACAACAUUUGGAAACGAAUGCUAAUACCGCAUAAAAACUUUAAACACAAGUUUUAAGUUUGAAAGAUGCAAUUGCAUCACUCAAAGAUGAUCCCGCGUUGUAUUAGCUAGUUGGUGAGGUAAAGGCUCACCAAGGCGAUGAUACAUAGCCGACCUGAGAGGGUGAUCGGCCACAUUGGGACUGAGACACGGCCCAAACUCCUACGGGAGGCAGCAGUAGGGAAUCUUCGGCAAUGGACGAAAGUCUGACCGAGCAUCGCCGCGUGAGUGAAGAAGGUUUUCGGAUCGUAAAACUCUGUUGGUAGAGAAGAACGUUGGUGAGAGUGGAAAGCUCAUCAAGUGACGGUAACUACCCAGAAAGGGACGGCUAACUACGUG
rnacentral:rRNA from 1 species